UUGCUGAGGGCUAAGCAGUGUUCUCAACAUAAGGAAACAGAUUAGCAUGGCCCCUGAAUAAGGAUGAUAUGUGUACUCCUGAAAUGUUCCACAUUAAA
rnacentral:snRNA from 1 species